rnacentral:rRNA from 1 species
CUGGCGGCGUGCUUAACACAUGCAAGUCGAACGGAAAGGCCCUGCUUUUGUGGGGUGCUCGAGUGGCGAACGGGUGAGUAACACGUGAGUAACCUGCCCUUGACUUUGGGAUAACUUCAGGAAACUGGGGCUAAUACCGGAUAGGAGCUCCUGCUGCAUGGUGGGGGUUGGAAAGUUUCGGCGGUUGGGGAUGGACUCGCGGCUUAUCAGCUUGUUGGUGGGGUAGUGGCUUACCAAGGCUUUGACGGGUAGCCGGCCUGAGAGGGUGACCGGCCACAUUGGGACUGAGAUACGGCCCAGACUCCUACGGGAGGCAGCAGUGGGGAAUAUUGCACAAUGGGCGGAAGCCUGAUGCAGCAACGCCGCGUGCGGGAUGACGGCCUUCGGGUUGUAAACCGCUUUCGCCUGUGACGAAGCGUGAGUGACGGUAAUGGGUAAAGAAGCACCGGCUAACUACGUGCCAGCAGCCGCGGUGAUACGUAGGGUGCGAGCGUUGUCCGGAUUUAUUGGGCGUAAAGGGCUCGUAGGUGGUUGAUCGCGUCGGAAGUGUAAUCUUGGGGCUUAACCCUGAGCGUGCUUUCGAUACGGGUUGACUUGAGGAAGGUAGGGGAGAAUGGAAUUCCUGGUGGAGCGGUGGAAUGCGCAGAUAUCAGGAGGAACACCAGUGGCGAAGGCGGUUCUCUGGGCCUUUCCUGACGCUGAGGAGCGAAAGCGUGGGGAGCGAACAGGCUUAGAUAUCCUGGUAGUCCACGCUGUAAACGGUGGGUACUAGGUGUGGGGUCCAUUCCACGGGUUCCGUGCCGUAGCUAACGCUUUAAGUACCCCGCCUGGGGAGUACGGCCGCAAGGCUAAAACUCAAAGGAAUUGACGGGGCCCCGCACAAGCGGCGGAGCAUGCGGAUUAAUUCGAUGCAACGCGUAGAACCUUACCUGGGUUUGACAUGGAUCGGGAGUGCUCAGAGAUGGGUGUGCCUCUUUUGGGGUCGGUUCACAGGUGGUGCAUGGCUGUCGUCAGCUCGUGUCGUGAGAUGUUGGGUUAAGUCCCGCAACGAGCGCAACCCUUGUUCACUGUUGCCAGCACGUUAUGGUGGGGACUCAGUGGAGACCGCCGGGGUCAACUCGGAGGAAGGUGGGGAUGACGUCAAGUCAUCAUGCCCCUUAUGUCCAGGGCUUCACGCAUGCUACAAUGGCUGGUACAGAGAGUGGCGAGCCUGUGAGGGUGAGCGAAUCUCGGAAAGCCGGUCUCAGUUCGGAUUGGGGUCUGCAACUCGACCUCAUGAAGUCGGAGUCGCUAGUAAUCGCAGAUCAGCAACGCUGCGGUGAAUACGUUCCCGGGGCUUGUACACACCGCCCGUCAAGUCAUGAAAGUUGGUAACACCCGAAGCCGGUGGCCUAACCGUUGUGGGGGAGCCGUCGAAGGUGGGACUGG